UACGUAGGGGGCAAGCGUUGUCCGGAUUUAUUGGGCGUAAAGCGCUCGCAGGUGGUUCGAUACGUCGUGCGUGAAAGACCCCGGCUCAACUGGGGAGUGUCGUGCGAUACGGUCGGACUGGAGGCCAGUAGGGGGGAUGCGGAAUUCCGGGUGUAGUGGUGGAAUGCGUAGAGAUCCGGAGGAACACCAGCGGCGAAGGCGGCAUCCUGGACUGGUCCUGACACUCAUGAGCGAAAGCGUGGGGAGCGAUCCGG
rnacentral:rRNA from 1 species